rnacentral:rRNA from 1 species
UACAGAGGGUGCUAGCGUUGUUCGGAAUCAUUGGGCGUAAAGGGCGCGUAGGCGGGAUGGCAAGUCGGUCGUGAAAUCCUUCGGCUCAACCGAAGAACGUCGAUCGAUACUGCUGUUCUUGAGGGUUGCAGAGGAGACUGGAAUUCCCGGUGUAGCGGUGAAAUGUGUAGAGAUCGGGAGGAACACCGGUGGCGAAGGCGGGUCUCUGGGCAAUUCCUGACGCUGAGGCGCGAAAGCGUGGGAGCAAACGGG